CUCCAGGGCCCUUCCAGUUAAGUAAGCCAGCCGAGUGAAGCUCUCUGUUCCUCCAUCAGGCUGAUGAUAGCCAAAGGACACUGAUAUGACGCACACGGCUGAAUGUAAGAAGAUGUGCCGUGGGACGGCCGCACGAGAGCAAAAACAUUCUUCUGUGUGAGAAAAAAAAUAAUAGAAGGAAAAUAAAUGAGAGAGCCGCCCGGCACGGAGAGCAACCCUGCAAGGGAAAGAGCGGCCAAUGUGAAUAGGGAAGAGGCGAAGCCAAACAUGGAAGGAAAUGAAAAUAUAAAUCAAUAUUAGUGUUUCAAUAUAAAAAUAAAAAUGAUCCCACAAUUGA